GACGAACGCUGGCGGCGUGCUUAACACAUGCAAGUCGAACGGAAAGGCCCUGCUUUUGUGGGGUGCUCGAGUGGCGAACGGGUGAGUAACACGUGAGUAACCUGCCCUUGACUUUGGGAUAACUUCAGGAAACUGGGGCUAAUACCGGAUAGGAGCUCCUGCUGCAUGGUGGGGGUUGGAAAGUUUCGGCGGUUGGGGAUGGACUCGCGGCUUAUCAGCUUGUUGGUGGGGUAGUGGCUUACCAAGGCUUUGACGGGUAGCCGGCCUGAGAGGGUGACCGGCCACAUUGGGACGGAGAUACGGCACAGACUCGUACGGGAGGCAGCAGUGGGGAAUAUUGCACAAUGGGCGGAAGCCUGAUGCAGCAACGCAGCGUGCGGGAUGACGGCCUUCGGGUUGUAAACCGCUGUCGCCUGUGACGAAGCGUGAGUGACGGUAAUGGGUAAAGAAGCACCGGCUAACUACGUG
rnacentral:rRNA from 1 species